GACGAACGCUGGCGGCGUGCUUAACACAUGCAAGUCGAACGAAGAGCGAUGGAAGCUUGCUUCUAUCACUCUUAGUGGCGAACGGGUGAGUAACGCGUAAUCAACCUGCCCUUCAGAGGGGGACAACAGUUGGAAGCGACUGCUAAUACCGCAUACGAUCUAAUCUCGGCAUCGAGGAAAGAUGAAAGGUGGCCUCUAUUUAUAAGCUAUCACUGAAGGAGGGGAUUGCGUCUGAUUAGCUAGUUGGAGGGGUAACGGCCCACCAAGGCGAUGAUCAGUAGCCGGUCUGAGAGGAUGAACGGCCACAUUGGGACUGAGACACGGCCCAGACUCCUACGGGAGGCAGCAGUGGGGAAUCUUCCGCAAUGGACGAAAGUCUGACGGAGCAACGCCGCGUGAGUGAUGACGGCCUUCGGGUUGUAAAGCUCGGUUAAUCGGGACGAAAGGCCUUCUUGAGAACAGUUAGAAGGAUUGACGGUACCGGAAUAGAAAGCCACGGCUAACUACGUG
rnacentral:rRNA from 1 species